AUGUGUCAUUCUCCUGCCAGCAGUGGAGGAGACUUUUCUGCUGAGGAAGAGGCCGUGCUGUCCUGCCGUCCUACUGGCUGUAUGGAGACCUUUUGGUUAUUGCCACAGACGCUUUCUCUUACUAUGGAUGGAGGAUGUUGCGGUUUUACAACCCAUGGACUGAGAAAGGACUCAAUAAGUAACCUGUUCACAUAUUCCAGGGUUAAACACAAAACAGGAGGCGAGAGCAGAGAACAAGAGUGCAGCAGUUUGGUGAAAGGUGAAGAAGAGGUGAGCAUCCAAAAGACGAGCAAGAGGACAGUUUCAAAGGAGACAUCACGGCACAAUAAAAGCUGCCUCCUCCUGUUUCACUGGCAUAUAUCCAUCACCAGAGGGCUCCACUGACCUGCCUGCUGACAUCAGAGCACACCCCUGUGUCAUGUGACCUGUCCCAGGCAAGUUCAAAGGCAGCUGUGGUAGAGAGAGCAGGGAGUUUAGUAGAGCACCGGAAGGAUGAGGUGGAAACAGGAAGUGUGUAGAUUCAGUGGACGUGGCAUCCUCCGUCUGCCUCCAUGCUCUCUUUACUGGCCUCUAAAAUCACUUCUAAAAACAUCUGCUGUAGCUGCUUUUGUUUAAAUGUUUAGGAUUUAGAAUUCAACUUUACUGUCAUACAUGUCUAAAUACAGGGUUACAAAAUACAGUUUGCAUCUAAUCAGUAAGUGCAAUAAGAGCAGAUUAUAUACAGUAAGUUCAGUAGAGAGCAAACAUACAGAUGUACUGGUCCAUACAGAUAAGGGUAGUAUAAGUGGGGAAAUAGUCAUGAACAGAGAGACCAAACAUACAGCUGAACUACAGACAAAUGUAUAGCAUACAGAUGUUUUAUAUUGCUGUACAGACAGGCAGAUUUACAGGUGUACUAUGGACAAAUAUACAGAUGUGCUACAUAUAUACAGAUGUAUCGGUGUGAGGUAAACAGAUCUACAGUGCUAUGAAUAUAUCUACAGCAGUGGAAGUGUAGCUCUCUGAACAGACUGUAAUAGUGAACAGUGUAGGCACUAUAACAGAGACUCUGUCAGUGUCCUAAACUAUAGCAGUAACCAAUGUGAGCAUGUGGUGAAUGUUGAGAAUGAUCAUGGUCACUGGGAGGAGGAGUGUAGAAGGGUUCAGUGAGUGUGGAUGGAAAGGUUCAGCAGGGGGCUGAGUUCAGUAGGGUGACAGCUGUGAGGAAGAAGCUGCUCCUAAACCUGCUGGUUUUAGUCUGAAGGCUCCUGUAGCGCCUCCUGGAGGGGAGGAGGAGCUGGAGGAGUUUCUUGGCAGGAUGAGAGGAGUCCCUGAGAAUGAUGCGUGCUUGGCAUAGACGUCUCUUCUUGUGGACAUCCUCAAUGGCAGGAAGUGGAGUCCCUGUGAUGCGUUGGCCUUGCGGUCAGCAACAGAGCAGUUCCCACACCAGACUGUGACACAGUUGUUCAGGAUGCUCUCUAUCGUACAGCGGUGGAAGUUACCCAGUAUGUCAGCAGACAGGUGGUUCUUCUUCAGUGUCCUCAAGAAAGAGAGGCACUGAUGGGCCUUCUUGACCAGGCUGGAGGUGUUAGUUGACCAGGACAUAUUCUCAGAGAUGUGGGUCCCCAAGAACUUGAAGCUGGAGACCCGUUCAACAGCUGUGCCAUUUAUGCAGAUGGGGACAUGGGUGUCUGUCUCCUCUCUCCUGAAGUCCACAGUGAGCUCUUUGGUUUUGCUGGUAUUCAGGGGCAGGUUAUUGUCAGCACCACACAGCUAGGUGCUUUACCUCUUCCCUGUAGCAGACUCAUCAUUGUCACUGAUGAGACAGUCACCGUGGUGUCAUCUGCAGACUGGGUGAUGGAGUUGGAUGCAUACCCAGGUCUGCAGUCAUAGAGGAACGGGCUCAGCACACAGCUCUGUGGAGUGCCAGUGUGAGUGUGAUGGUGGUAGAGCAGUUAUGGCCUGGCCUAACAUGCUGGGGUCUGUUGGUGAGAAAGUCCAUGAUCCAGGUACAGAUGGAGUUGUUGAGUCUAAGAUCCACACGUUUGGUGACCAGCUUGGAGGGAAUAACUUUACCUGUGGUGAGCUGAAGUCAACAAACAGCAUUCUUACAUAAGUAUUGCAUAAAUAUCUGAGUACACGUUGCAAGAAACUGCAUUCCCAGAUCACAUCCAGUGUGUGCUGGAAAAUUUGCAGCGAUUCUACAAAAAUGUUCCACAUGGUUGUUUUUGUUCUUCCUACUGGUGAUGAUCCAGUGGGGCUCCAGUCACUCCAGGCUGGUGGUGCCACAAAACAGACUGCAAAAACACCUGUGCGUCCAUGACUGAUCCUGCUGCUUCACUUCUGUAUGAAUUGAUCUUUUCAUGACUGUUCACUUUGGACAAGCAGGAAACAGCUGACUUGUGGCUUUGCAGGAGGAUUCCCUUUAACAACAAGAGCAUGCACACAGUUUGUUUAGGCCACCAUGAAGAGCUCACAUUGUAAAUCACAAAGAGCCAGUAUAUGAUACUGCAGCUUCCACUCACUGAGACAGGAUGGCUCGUAGGAGGUGAUUACACUCUGCUUCAUUUGGUUCCAGUUCAGGUUAAGGGACAGAAACUGGAAACAAAUGUUAGAAAAAUAUUUACUGUUAGAAAACAUUCAGUGAAAACAAUAUCGAUUUUUGUGUUUGGCUUCAAAUCGGAGUCUCCAAAAGCCAGUCAGACAGUAGAGCUGGUAUAAACAGAGAGGAGAUGAAGCUUCUUUUAGACAGAGGAAGGAAAAUAUUUAGAUUCACUUAAAAGGAUAAUUCUCUAUUUUUAGCACUUUCCACUUUCAUGCCAUUAAGCUCUAAUUAGCUUCAAUUUCACUUAAGAUACAUGAACACAGAAAAGUAAGAGUGUGAUUCUGGCAAAAGAUAAAAUUUCUCAUUGUUAAAGGUCCCUGCUCACUGACCCCUCUGUCUCUUAACUGCUGUAUAUGUGCUGGAUUAUUUGGACUACAUUGCAUUGUACAGUUAGACUGUGAUUGUAUCUGUGGGGCUUAGAGACAAUGACAUUUGUUCACACAGUGGAUUCAUUUUCAAAGAUCAGGGAGCUUUAGGGCUGGUCUGGAGACAUUAACUGGCUCUAGGUGACAGAAAGUGCUGCAAGGACUGAGAAAAAACAGUAUUAAUUUGGUGCACAUUAUGACAGCUGGGAUUUAUGUGUGUGUAUAUUAUGUGUUGAGGUUUUCUCUUUGUGACUGAGGUCCUUACUGGCGGUGAGAUUUGUGUUGAGCGUGCAGUGCAGAGUGAUCAGAUGUGCUGUUCCACAAACAGGAUGUUUUUAUUGUAGUCACUGUAGCAAGUGAGAUCUGUGAGAAAUAAACCAGGAGAGGUGGAAGGACAAGAUCAAACAACAGAUCCUUAAGUCCAUGAUACAAUCAAAAUGAAGAGAAAAGGCUAACUGUGUGGAAGGCUGAGAUACUCGUCACUCUGCAGACGAGCAGCAGAGACAGUUCAACAGGCCACAGAGUAUUUUCCCAGAAGUCUCGGGGAUCAUCGAGAUGUUUUCUGG
ensembl:lncRNA